rnacentral:rRNA from 1 species
GAUGAACGCUAGCUCCAGGCUUAACACAUGCACGUCGAGGGUCAGCAUGACCUAGCCAUAGGUUGAUGGCGACCGGCGCACGGGUGAGUCACACGUAUCCAACCUCCCGACUAUUCCGGGAUAGCCUUUCGAAAGAAAGAUUAAUACUGGAUAGCAUAACGAUUAGGCAUCUUCUUGUUAUUUAAGAAUUUCGAUUAUCGAUGGGGAUGCGUUCCAUUAUUUUGUUGGCGGGGUAACAGCCCACCAAGACAUCGAUGGAUAGGGGUUCUGAGAGGAAGGUCCCCCACAUUGGAACUGAGACACGGUCCAAACUCCUACGGGAGGCAGCAGUGAGGAAUAUUGGGCAAUGGACGAGAGUCUGAACCAGCCAAGUAGCGUGAAGGAUGACUGCCCUAUGGGUUGUAAACUUCUUUUAGAUGGGAAUAAAGUGGGCCACGUGUGGCUUUUUGUAUGUACCAUACGAAUAAGGAUCGGCUAACUCCGUG